GACGAACGCUGGCGGCGUGCUUAACACAUGCAAGUCGAGCGAGGACAUUUAGCAAUAGGUGUUCUAGCGGCGGACGGGUGAGUAACGCGUGAGCAAUCUGUCCCAGACAGGGGGAUAACAGAUGGAAACAUCUGCUAAUACCGCAUAAGACCACGGUUUCACAUGGGAUCGGGGUAAAAGGCGAAAGCCGGUUUGGGGUGAGCUCGCGUCCGAUUAGCUGGUUGGCGGGGUAACGGCCCACCAAGGCGACGAUCGGUAGCCGACCUGAGAGGGUGAUCGGCCACACUGGAACUGAGAGACGGUCCAGACUCCUACGGGAGGCAGCAGUGGGGAAUAUUGGGCAAUGGGGGAAACCCUGACCCAGCAACGCCGCGUGAGGGAAGAAGGUUUUCGGAUUGUAAACCUCUGUCCUUGGUGAAGAAAGAGAUGACGGUAGCCAAGGAGGAAGCCCCGGCUAACUACGUG
rnacentral:rRNA from 1 species